AGAGUCUGCUCUUCUAGACAGUUUUUUUGCUGAUAAAAUCAAAGGGGCGGUUCAUGUGAACCGCCCCUUUUGUUUGGCCGU
rnacentral:sRNA from 1 species